rnacentral:rRNA from 1 species
UACAGAGGGGGCAAGCGUUAUUCGGAAUUAUUGGGCGUAAAGGGCGCGUAGGCGGCUUUGCAAGUGGCGGGUGAAAUCCCUCGGCUUAACCGAGGAACUGCCUGCCAGACUGUGAGGCUUGAGACCGGGAGAGGUGAGUGGAAUUCCCAGUGUAGCGGUGAAAUGCGUAGAGAUCGGGAAGAACAUCAGUGGCGAAGGCGGCCUGCUGGGCUGUUGCUGACGCUGAGGAGCGAAAGCCAGGGGAGCAAACGGG